rnacentral:rRNA from 1 species
AGAGUUUGAUCCUGGCUCAGGAUGAACGCUGGCGGCGUGCCUAACACAUGCAAGUCGAACGGGCCGCGCCUGAAACCUAGUGAAGGCGCGGCCAGUGGCGGACGGGUGAGUAACGCGUGGGCAACCUGCCGCGCACAGGGGGACAACGGCCGGAAACGGCCGCUAAUACCGCAUAUUCCCGCGGGGCCGCAUGGCCCUGCGGGGAAAGCCCGGGGCGACCCGGACGGUGCGCGAUGGGCCCGCGUCCGAUUAGCUUGUUGGCGGGGCAGCGGCCCACCAAGGCGACGAUCGGUAGCCGGCCUGAGAGGGCGGACGGCCACACUGGGACUGAGACACGGCCCAGACUCCUGCGGGAGGCAGCAGUGGGGAAUAUUGCACAAUGGGGGGAACCCUGAUGCAGCGACGCCGCGUGGGUGAAGGAGCACCUCGGUGCGUAAAGCCCUAUCGGCAGGGAAGAAACAGACGGUACCUGACUAAGAAGCCCCGGCUAACUACGUGCCAGCAGCCGCGGUAAUACGUAGGGGGCAAGCGUUAUCCGGAUUCACUGGGUGUAAAGGGAGCGUAGACGGCGACGCUAGUCUGGAGUGAAAGCCCGGGGCCCAACCCCGGGACUGCUCUGGAAACUGCGGCGCUGGAGUACGGGAGGGGCAGGCGGAAUUCCUGGU